GCGGUAAUACGUAGGGCGCAAGCGUUGUCCGGAAUUAUUGGGCGUAAAGAGCUCGUAGGCGGUUUGUCGCGUCUGGUGUGAAAACUCAAGGCUCAACCUUGAGCUUGCAUCGGGUACGGGCAGACUAGAGUGCGGUAGGGGUGACUGGAAUUCCUGGUGUAGCGGUGGAAUGCGCAGAUAUCAGGAGGAACACCGAUGGCGAAGGCAGGUCACUGGGCCGCAACUGACGCUGAGGAGCGAAAGCAUGGGGAGCGAACAGGAUUA
rnacentral:rRNA from 1 species